UACAGAGGGGGCAAGCGUUGUUCGGAAUUACUGGGCGUAAAGGGUUCGUAGGUGGCUUACUAAGUCAGACGUGAAAUCCCUCAGCUUAACUGGGGAACUGCGUCUGAUACUGGAAAGCUUGAGUGCAGGAGAGGAACGCGGAAUUCCAGGUGUAGCGGUGAAAUGCGUAGAUAUCUGGAGGAACACCGGUGGCGAAGGCGGCGUUCUGGACUGCAACUGACACUGAGGAACGAAAGCCAGGGGAGCAAACGGG
rnacentral:rRNA from 1 species